UCUUUGCUUGUGGACACCAUUUUAAAAACAAUCGAUGUAUUUCUGCUCUUUGAGAUGUUAACCUGCUCGUGGUUACAACGUGCCAUUCCAAAUAAGGUACAAGUAUCAAUGACAAUUGUGACUCCGAGUCAUAGCAAAAACUAUGUUGAAGUCUUCGUUGUUUUCAGUUGUUGAGAGGCUGCAUUCCUAAUGUUAUAAUGUAUGUGAUUGUACCCGAUUUCAAAAAGAUUUGAUGGAACCCUCACAAAAAGGUAACUCCGCCCCUUUUUUCAGACAGUGUUGUCACUUGUUUCAUUUUUUCUUCUAAAAAUUAUUGUCACAACAAAUGCUUUAACUCAAAACUGAAAGGUAAAGUAUGUCCCUACCAAUUAUGUCUUAAUAAAACAAUAAGAAGUAAAUACGAAAAAAGGUCAGUAAGCUAACCUUUACUUAUGUUUGAGAGAACUAGUUUUGUGCUCACCAAGGUUUUGGUAUUGAUCGCCAUUUUUAAUUUUAUUGUUUUCCUUUGGAUAAAAUUUUGUUAUAAGUAUUUGUUUAAUCAUAAAUCACAAAAUUCCAUUUGGCUUUAUGUUUUGCCACGGGUAUCUUGAGUUAUUAGUUAGUUACAGUGGGAGAACCGGCUUUGACCCAUUAAAACAACCAUUUUGGCUAGUUUAUUAGCGCUUUUGCUCCAGUAUACCAUUUGAUUUACAGAAAUUCAAGGUUGGAUGAAAAUGUGCGCCAGUGAACCGGGCGAUCUUGCAAGAGCGCUCGUUUGAAUUUAACGUGAGUGAGAGGAACGCUUAGUUACAUUUAGAACUAUUUGCAUGAAAUAAAAUCGAACCUCUAUGGCAGUGGCUAAAAUUUUAAGAUGACAAUUUUUAAUUUACCCACGGCUAGCUCAGUAAUAAAAAUGUCCUUAUACCCCUUACCUGGGCCUCUUAUCUCCUAACAUCUGAAACUCAAAGUUUAGUGUUCUAGUUCAAUGGAACUUUUAUUGAUUGUUUGAACAUAUUAAUAAACACAAAAGUUUAUUCUGUUCAAAAUAUACACAUACCUCUGAAUGCCAAACAAAAUUUGAAUCCAACCAAGGGAUUGAACUGAAACUAAAUGCAACAUAUCCAACCAAUGAGGCCAAAAUCCUUUGUUUGGAUUCUAUUCUAUUUCCCAAAGGCAUGAUACCUAGUGCUAGGGGUAAUAGGAAAGAAUUGUUGGUUUUGGUAAAGAACAUAGCACCAGGGAGCAGGGAUGGCAGAUAUUUAUCAUGUGCCAGUCAAAAGAAGGGGGAGACUGAAUAGUGAAGAAUUACUGAAUUAGAAAUUCAAAAGACUAAAAUUUAAAAAAAAACAAUGCUUUAUCUCAUUUAAUUUUAUUAUGGAAUGAUAUUUUUGCUUUUAUGUUUAUGUUUUUAUGUGAAUAAAGCUUAAGUUUG